UGGCUCAGGACGAACGCUGGCGGCGUGCCUAAUACAUGCAAGUCGAACGAACUCUGGUAUUGAUUGGUGCUUGCAUCAUGAUUUACAUUUGAGUGAGUGGCGAACUGGUGAGUAACACGUGGGAAACCUGCCCAGAAGCGGGGGAUAACACCUGGAAACAGAUGCUAAUACCGCAUAACAACUUGGACCGCAUGGUCCGAGUUUGAAAGAUGGCUUCGGCUAUCACUUUUGGAUGGUCCCGCGGCGUAUUAGCUAGAUGGUGGGGUAACGGCUCACCAUGGCAAUGAUACGUAGCCGACCUGAGAGGGUAAUCGGCCACAUUGGGACUGAGACACGGCCCAAACUCCUACGGGAGGCAGCAGUAGGGAAUCUUCCACAAUGGACGAAAGUCUGAUGGAGCAACGCCGCGUGAGUGAAGAAGGGUUUCGGCUCGUAAAACUCUGUUGUUAAAGAAGAACAUAUCUGAGAGUAACUGUUCAGGUAUUGACGGUAUUUAACCAGAAAGCCACGGCUAACUACGUGCCAGCAGCCGCGGUAAUACGUAGGUGGCAAGCGUUGUCCGGAUUUAUUGGGCGUAAAGCGAGCGCAGGCGGUUUUUUAAGUCUGAUGUGAAAGCCUUCGGCUCAACCGAAGAAGUGCAUCGGAAACUGGGAAACUUGAGUGCAGAAGAGGACAGUGGAACUCCAUGUGUAGCGGUGAAAUGCGUAGAUAUAUGGAAGAACACCAGUGGCGAAGGCGGCUGUCUGGUCUGUAACUGACGCUGAGGCUCGAAAGUAUGGGUAGCAAACAGGAUUAGAUACCCUGGUAGUCCAUACCGUAAACGAUGAAUGCUAAGUGUUGGAGGGUUUCCGCCCUUCAGUGCUGCAGCUAACGCAUUAAGCAUUCCGCCUGGGGAGUACGGCCGCAAGGCUGAAACUCAAAGGAAUUGACGGGGGCCCGCACAAGCGGUGGAGCAUGUGGUUUAAUUCGAAGCUACGCGAAGAACCUUACCAGGUCUUGACAUACUAUGCAAAUCUAAGAGAUUAGACGUUCCCUUCGGGGACAUGGAUACAGGUGGUGCAUGGUUGUCGUCAGCUCGUGUCGUGAGAUGUUGGGUUAAGUCCCGCAACGAGCGCAACCCUUAUUAUCAGUUGCCAGCAUUAAGUUGGGCACUCUGGUGAGACUGCCGGUGACAAACCGGAGGAAGGUGGGGAUGACGUCAAAUCAUCAUGCCCCUUAUGACCUGGGCUACACACGUGCUACAAUGGAUGGUACAACGAGUUGCGAACUCGCGAGAGUAAGCUAAUCUCUUAAAGCCAUUCUCAGUUCGGAUUGUAGGCUGCAACUCGCCUACAUGAAGUCGGAAUCGCUAGUAAUCGCGGAUCAGCAUGCCGCGGUGAAUACGUUCCCGGGCCUUGUACACACCGCCCGUCACACCAUGAGAGUUUGUAACA
rnacentral:rRNA from 2 species